UGCGCCUCCUGAAGGGCCCUUGAAGACUACAAGGUUGAUAGGCUGGGUGUGGAAGCACAGCAAUGUGUUGAGCUAACCAGUACUAAUUGCCCGUGAGGCUUGACCAUAUAACACCCAAGGGGUU
rnacentral:rRNA from 1 species